rnacentral:rRNA from 1 species
UGACCUCAAAUCAGGUAGGAUUACCCGCUGAACUUAAGCAUAUCAAUAAGCGGAGGAAAGAAACUAACA